GCCCCCGUAGUUCAACGGAUAGAAUGCUGGCCUCCGGAGCCGGUGAUUCGCGUUCGAAUCGCGACGGGGGCG
rnacentral:tRNA from 1 species